rnacentral:lncRNA from 13 species
CCUACCCAACAGCCCUAAGUCUGUUUCCAGGCGGAGGAUGAAGGGCAAGAGGACAAGGGCAAGACAAGACAGGCUUGAAAAUGUGCCCAAGGCUAUCUGCCUCCCGGCUUUGAGAGAAAAGGGCUUUAGUUCUUCCCGACCUGUGAAGUCUGCAUUCCCGAAUUGUGCCCUCCCCCGAGUUCUGGCUGGGAGGCUUCUCUCCCCAUUUAAGUUGUUACAAAGUUCAGCUAGAGAAUUCCUUCGCCCUGUGGAGUUUUACCCGCUGCUCCUCUGGCCACCUUCCAGUUGGAUCGCCGUGGUACCAGGCAGGAAUGGGCUGUAUGGGGAACCAGCGAGCUCCCAGGGCCUUUCUGCUGCUUCCUCUACCCCUGUAUUUCGCUCAGCUUGGCUCUCUAACUUGACUCAGCUCCAGGUGUUUUGGAAAAUGGAAAAUGGUAAAUGCUUCAAAACUCUUUAA